AUUUGAUGAUCUUACUUCUCAAACCUCUUUCUCUAAUUUCCCCAUUUUCUUUUCCUUCUCUUUCAUUACCAGUUUCAUAUUUCAUGUCAUGCCAUUAUUUCCAAAACCGCUGUCACUCAUGUCUCAUCUUCUGUAAAAGCUUUUCUCUUGGAUCUGGAUUUUUGUUGUUGUUGUUGUUGUUACUGAGUAGCUUUUCUCUAAGAUCUGGGUAAAUCUGGUUUUUUGGUUUGAUUUGCAAGUUUUUGUGAAUGAUCUCUCGGAUCUGAUUUGUUGUUGUUGUUAUUAAGCAUCUUUUCUAUCAGAUCUAGGUAAAUCUAAUUUUUUUUGUUUGAUUGGUAAAUUUUUGUGAAUGAAAAAACUACAAGUGAAAUAGUGAUGAUUUAUUUCUUUAACUAUUUAAAUAUGGUUUUUGUUUAUAUUUGCAGGUUAGUGAUCGGUUCAUCACAGGUCAGUGUUAGGUUUGUUUGUUGUUAUUGCAGAAGCCAUUUAUAAUACUUCGAUUAAUAUAUUUUUUUAUUUUUUAUUUGUGUGCAUGCGAUUUUUGGUUUCAGAUGUGUUUCGAUUACAAUGCGAACGAUCCGACAUGGGUGUCUAUUACUGGUGUUGAUGUAUACACUUCUGUUGCUGGUAGUAUUAAAGCUCUAUACGCAGGAAUUAUUGGAAUGUGCGAGAAUCAUAUUUUUUUAAAGAAUCAAACAAUCUGGUCUAAUAUACAUUACAUAUUGUUUUGUAAAUAUGUUUUUGGUUUGUGACAUGAUUCAUUUUCUUUUUCAAUAAUAGGUAUUAAUAGUAAUGAAUACUUACGUAAAAUGCUAUUAUAUUAUUAAACAAUUAUCUCACUUAUGAUAUAUCUCUAUUUCACCUAAAU